rnacentral:misc_RNA from 1 species
UCGCGUCUUACGACGGCAGUUUCACUAGAGUUCCCAGCUUGACCUGAUGGCAACUAAUGACAAGGGUUGCGCUCGUUGCGGGACUUAACCCAACAUCUCACGACACGAGCUGACGACGGCCAUGCAUCACCUGUCACUAGGUUCCUUGCGGCACUCACUCCUUUCGGAGUAAUUCCUAGGAUGUCAAACCCUGGUAAGGUUCUUCGUUUAGCAUCGAAUUAAAGAACACGAUCCACCGCUUGUGCGGGUCCCCGUCAAUUCCUUUAUGUUUUAGUCUUGCGACCGUACUCCACAGGCGGGAUACUUAACGCGUUAGCUUCGCUACUGGAGGGGUCGAUACCCCCAACAGCUAGUAUCCAUCGUUUACGGCGUGGACUAC